AACGAACGCUGGCGGCAGGCUUAACACAUGCAAGUCGAACGCAUCGCAAGAUGAGUGGCAGACGGGUGAGUAACGCGUGGGAAUCUACCUAGUUCUACGGAACAACAGUUGGAAACGACUGCUAAUACCGUAUACGCCCUAUGGGGGAAAGAUUUAUCGGAAAUAGAUGAGCCCGCGUAAGAUUAGCUAGUUGGUGGGGUAAUGGCCUACCAAGGCGACGAUCUUUAGCUGGUCUGAGAGGAUGAUCAGCCACACUGGGACUGAGACACGGCCCAGACUCCUACGGGAGGCAGCAGUGGGGAAUAUUGGACAAUGGGCGCAAGCCUGACCCAGCCAUGCCGCGUGAGUGAUGAAGGCCUUAGGGUUGUAAAGCUCUUUCACCGAUGAAGAUAAUGACGGUAGUCGGAGAAGAAGCCCCGGCUAACUUCGUGCCAGCCGCCGCAGUAACAC
rnacentral:rRNA from 1 species